rnacentral:rRNA from 1 species
UACGUAGGGGGCAAGCGUUGUCCGGAAUCAUUGGGUGUAAAGCGCGUGUAGGCGGUCCGGUAAGUCCGCUGUGAAAGUCGGGGGCUCAACCCUCGGAUGCCGGUGGAUACUGUCGGGCUUGAGUACGGAAGAGGCGAGUGGAAUUCCUGGUGUAGCGGUGAAAUGCGCAGAUAUCAGGAGGAACACCAAUUGCGAAGGCAGCUCGCUGGGACGUUACUGACGCUGAGACGCGAAAGCGUGGGGAGCAAACAGG